AUUGAACGCUGGCGGCAUGCUUUACACAUGCAAGUCGAACGGUAACAGGCCGCAAGGUGCUGACGAGUGGCGAACGGGUGAGUAAUGCAUCGGAACGUGCCCAGUCGUGGGGGAUAACGCAGCGAAAGCUGUGCUAAUACCGCAUACGAUCUAUGGAUGAAAGCGGGGGACCGUAAGGCCUCGCGCGAUUGGAGCGGCCGAUGUCAGAUUAGGUAGUCGGUGGGGUAAAGGCUCACCAAGCCAACGAUCUGUAGCUGGUCUGAGAGGACGACCAGCCACACUGGGACUGAGACACGGCCCAGACUCCUACGGGAGGCAGCAGUGGGGAACUUUGGACAAUGGGCGAAAGCCUGAUCCAGCAAUGCCGCGUGCAGGAAGAAGGCCUUCGGGUUGUAAACUGCUUUUGUACGGAGCGAAAAGGUCUCCUCUAAUACAGGGGGCUCAUGACGGUACCGUAAGAAUAAGCACCGGCUAACUACGUGCCAGCCGCCGCGGUAA
rnacentral:rRNA from 1 species